rnacentral:rRNA from 1 species
GACGAACGCUGGCGGCGUGCUUAACACAUGCAAGUCGAACGGAAAGGCCCUGCUUUUGUGGGGUGCUCGAGUGGCGAACGGGUGAGUAACACGUGAGUAACCUGCCCUUGACUUUGGGAUAACUUCAGGAAACUGGGGCUAAUACCGGAUAGGAGCUCCUGCUGCAUGGUGGGGGUUGGAAAGUUUCGGCGGUUGGGGGUGGACUCGCGGCUUAUCAGCUUGUUGGUGGGGUAGUGGCUUACCAAGGCUUUGACGGGUAGCCGGCCUGAGAGGGUGACCGGCCACAUUGGGACUGAGAUACGGCCCAGACUCCUACGGGAGGCAGCAGUGGGGAAUAUUGCACAAUGGGCGGAAGCCUGAUGCAGCAACGCCGCGUGCGGGAUGACGGCCUUCGGGUUGUAAACCGCUUUCGCCUGUGACGAGGCGUGAGUGACGGUAAUGGGUAAAGAAGCACCGGCUAACUACGUG